AAAGAGAGAGAAAAAAAGUUAUUUCCCCUUGUGCCAAGAAUGAGAUGAAGCCUGGAGAACAGGGUAAAGCAUUGGCUUCCGUAUCUUUCAAAUUGUCCCGAGUGAUUCUGAUCCACAGUGAAAACUGAAAACUGUUCUAAUAUUCACCUUGCCGGAAAAGUAAGACUAUGUGAAGUGAACCCUCCUUCAAAUUGGAGAAGGAAGCUUUGAGAUUUCCAGGGAAGAUGGAAGACAGAACAGCUUGAGCCAUUUGGGUGCGGUGUAGAACUGGAAAUUGUGUCAAGGUUGACUGAGCCCUGUUUCUGGUCUAAGAAAGUUAAAACUUGUAUUCAAAAUGGAUAUCAAGACAACAUAAAAUGAAAUGACUGAUUUUGAAGAUUGAGAAUUAGGAAUAUUGUACAGAUGCUGUCAUUCCUACAUGAAGGAGGCAGAAGAAUGUAGCAAGCUCAGCUCUCUAAUGCCAGGAGUGGCACUUUCAGUGACCAGAGCUCCCUGGGUCCUCUGUGUAUCCCUCCCCUGUCAACUGAUUCAACAGAGGCUGGGCUGGUCCUGGCAUUAGCACAUUUUUGAAUCUGCCUUUGGCUGUGACUUCACCCAAAGACAGAAAGGGGAAGUUUCUGGUCUACAUAGCCAACAUGUGGUCUUGAUAAUAAAUCAUUGCUUGUU
rnacentral:lncRNA from 1 species